AGAACGAACGCUGGCGGCAGGCUUAACACAUGCAAGUCGAACGCCCCGCAAGGGGAGUGGCAGACGGGUGAGUAACGCGUGGGAAUCUACCUGGUUCUACGGAAUAACUGAGGGAAACUUCAGCUAAUACCGUAUACGCCCUAAGGGGAAAGAUUUAUCGGUGCCAGAUGAGCCCGCGUUGGAUUAGCUAGUUGGUGGGGUAAUGGCCUACCAAGGCGACGAUCCAUAGCUGGUCUGAGAGGAUGAUCAGCCACACUGGGACUGAGACACGGCCCAGACUCCUACGGGAGGCAGCAGUGGGGAAUAUUGGACAAUGGGCGAAAAGCCUGAUCCAGCCAUGCCGCGUGAGUGAUGAAGGCCUUAGGGUUGUAAAGCUCUUUCAGUGGGGAAGAUAAUGACGGUAACCACAGAAGAAGCCCCGGCUAACUUCGUGCCAGCAGCCGC
rnacentral:rRNA from 1 species